UGGCCCUACCCCCCCACCACAGUCAGCUCCCUGCCCCCACACUUGUCAGCACAGGGACCCCAGGUGGCAGACAGCUGAGAAGCUUCAGCCUAGUCAGACUCAACUUCUGCCCCAUCCUCUGGGACCUACAGUCGCCCCUCCAGCUUCCCGGGAGUCCAAUUUCCUAAAGCACAAUGGGUGACAACCUGGCACGGGCUUGCAGGUGGAGGCCUGGCGCUUCCGGGAGCUGCAGGGGCCAGGGAGCCCCCCACCUUCCCGCUUGCACCCCCUGGAGGCUCUGAGCAGCAGCUGGCAGGACAGGUGGGGGCUCUGCCUGCUCUUUGCCCCCGCCCCUCUUGACCGCCCCCUGCCUAGGGCCAGCUCCUCUCCUGGCUGCUGCAGUCAGUGCUUCCCACAGGUCUCGUCUCAUGCCUGGGACCCAGCAUUCAUUCACUCAUUCCUUCACCUGUGGCUGGGGUGGCGGCUAGGCUGAGCGCUCCUGGAACUCAGCACCUGGUGGUGUGGGUGAAACAGGGGGGGUCUCCUCCACCAGACCCGGAGCCUCCAGGGCAUCUUACAAACCUCUAACCCAGGCUUUGUCACCUGGCCCACGGCCUGGACUAUGUUCAGUGCUCAGUGAAUGAAUGAAUGAGUCGUGAAUGAAUGAUGGAAGAGACCCGAGUGAGUAGGAUGUUGCCCUUGUAUCUCCGCAGUGGGUUUCAACCUGAGGGACACGAGGGCAAGGGUGAUGGUGGCAACGGCCGUGGGCAGGGACUGCGUGGAACCCCCAAGGCUGAGCCACCUCUCCUUGACCUGCCCAUGCUGCAGGGCCCCGGCAGUGAGCAAGCCGCCGGGUCCCCUGCACAUGUGUCGGGAAACGGAAGCUGACUUUCUCAGGGGCCCCAUAGGAUGACGGGGAGCAGGGUAGGGAGGGGGGAUGUGAGCCAUGGGGAGAGGCCGCAAAAGCAGAUGACGCGUCUGUGUCCGUCCACAGAUGGAGGGGGUUGGGGGGGGCUGUUCUGGGAGACAAGCUCCGUCUACCCAUAGCAUUCCCUGGCCUGGAAUGUUCAAGCUGGGCUCAGUGUUUGAGCUCAGGCAGGGAGCUGAAUGUGACCCCGCUUGCCUCCUGCCUGCCCUUGGGUUGCAAGGUGGUGCGUGUGACCCUCACAAUGACCCCCACAGUGACCCCUUGCAGUGGGCACUGAGCUUGCUCCCACCUUACAGAGGGGAAACAGGUGCUUGCAGCCCUGGCGUCUUGACCUGUGCUUAGAGGCAGGGGCAGGGUUCGGGGAGAAGCUCCCUCGCCGCACAGCCCCUAAUCGAGGUGGUUUACCCUGCAAGGCAGUGCUCUCCCAGGCACGCAUGGGGACGCAGGUGCCACCAUGGAAGGGGCUCUGCCUGGGACCCGUUUCUGGGGUUCAUGUGGCGCCAGAAGCCUGAGUUCCAGAGGCCCCAGGCCCCUCAUCCACCCACCCGUGUGCUCCUGACAAUGACCAAGACGUUUACUCCCCUGGGUGCAGAAAGAGUCGGCCGCGAGUCCACCCUCUCACCGGGGAGCCUGGGGCCCCCUUCCGUCCCACCACCCACUCUUGGGGUGGCCAGCCCAGGACUGUGCCCCAGCCAGUGGCUUUGGGGGCUCCACUUGAGACUAACGCACCAAGUGAGCCACGCUCAGUAUUGGGGCUUCUAGUAAGGUAUUUCCAAUCAUAAAAUGUGUCAUUAAAAAAAAUAUAUGUGUCAGUUAAGUGCGCACUAAGCCCGGACCACAUGGGACAUAGUUGUUCUCAUAAACACGAAUAAGCCAGUUUUCACAUUAGAGAAAUAACAGUUUCUUGUAGAAAUGUGGUGCUUUUAAAAGAGGUUAAUUAAUAAACAGCAGGUAAUUGUUCGUGGCACAUUGUGGCAGAGGGUAAUUUUCAUUUUAGAGGAGGGAAGGGCCAAGGACCCCUCCCCACUCAGCAUUUUUCUGUAAUAAUCACCUUGGCUUCACCUCUGGCUUUAAUUUUUACAGCUGCAGCUGUUUAGCAUCCUCCGACUCUCACUAAAAAGGAAAAACUAUCACUUAAACAAAGCCAUUGAAAACUCGGCAUCGUAUGUGGAUUUCUUAACAUAAAUAAAUCAUGCAAACCAAGAUUUAUGUUCCCGGGAUGAUGUCAUUCAUUGAAGAGCGCCUUCCCAAUCAAAGAGGCACUUAGUGCUUUUCCUCUGGCCUGUGCUUUGCUUUUGCUCAAUAAUGGGGCACCCGCUCGCCCAUCCCUGCCGCCCUCCUUUCCGGUUUUUUCUGCCCAGGACCUCAGAGAGCUGCUCCCUCCCGGGGUCAGCCCAGCACAGCCAGGUCUCAAUGCUGAAAACAGUGCUAAAUCCGCAAACUGCUUUUAAAGCCUUUGCUUUUGAAGCAUAAGGCUGAGGUUAAACAACUGCUAAACCUUCCCCAGGAACCGGUGCCGGCCCCGGCAGAAGUUUACGGUCCUCCCGGGUGUCCCAGAGCCUAGAGUGAGUCCGGCGGGCAGCAGAGACUCCACUGCGGAAGCUUUAAUCCAGUUGAAACGAGAACGAGGAGCGUUCACGUCGCCUAUAACAGAUGAGCGAGCCGAGGCGUGUGCACGCGGUGGCGUGUGCACGCGGUGGCGUGUGCACGCGGUGGCGUGUGCACGCGGUGGCGUGUGCACGCGGUGGCGUGUGCACGCGGUGGAGUAGCACUCGGCACCAAAAGGAGGGAGACACAGACACCUGCCGUGACGCCGACGAGCCUGGGAGACCUGGUGCUCGGUGAAAGAAGCCGAUCUCGAAAGGUCACAUAUUACACAACGACACUCACACGACGUGCCCAGGACGGGCAAAUGCUGCAGCUCUGCGUUGCGGGGCUGCGGACGGACGUCGGACGUCAUGGAGGCAGCGGCACCCUGGGGAGACGAAGGCUCGGAGCGCAGGGGAGCCAGACCCGAGCCGGCGUCCGCCCCAGGUGUUGCCAGGGGGCGUCGGCUGGAAGCCAGUGGGAACACAGGGCUGACUCACGCCCGGGGUCCGGCAGGUUGCAGCGUGAGUGAGCCUUCUCCCCCUGCGAGGGACACGCGUCUGUCACACACCUGCUGCGAGCCUGGCACAGCUGCAGGCCCCGAGGUGCAGCAGUGACUGGAACGGACACUCCCCACCCCCUACGCCCAGCCCACGUUCUCCUGCAGAAGGCGGCAGUGAGCAAGAUCCGCGAGGGCCUGGCAUAGCCGGCUAGGACAUUCUAGCGCACCGGGCACACAGGGAGGAAGAGAGGUGAGGACCAGGACGAGGGGAAGGCAUGAUUUUCAUCAUGCUGGUUAGGGAAGGCCCUCACUGGGGUGGUGACAUUCAAACAGGCAGUGACGAGGCAGCCACCUCCGUGUCUGGGGCAACAGCAUUUGGGCAGAGGGAACAGCCAGGGCAAAGGCCCUGAGGCAAUGGUGGCCAGUGUGGCCAGAGCAGAAGCAUGGAGGAGGGGGGACAAGAGUGCAGGGGGCACUGGGGGUGCAAAUUAAGGUCGCAGCCGGACUCACAGCUGCUGAGGCUGACCUCAUGCCCUGGUUGUCUGGGGGUGCCCACAAAGUCCUCAGACAGCCAGGGGUGCGGGAGAGUCGCAUCAGGAUGGAGGGACAUGGGGAAGAUUCGGUGACGGCCUUCUGGCUUCGAGGAUGGGGGAAGGGCUGUGAGCCAAGGAAGGUGAUCACGGAGACCUCAGGAAACUGGCAAAGGCAAGAAAGAGGAUUCUAGAGCCUCCGGAAGGGAAAGCAGCCCUGUCCACGCUGGACUUUUAGCCCGGCAAGACCAGUUUUGGACUUCGGACCUACAGAACUGGCAGCGGCUGGGAAGUCUGGAAGACUGUGCUUCCUUGGGCUUUGCGUGUGACUUGCGUUUUCCUCUUUGGAAUCUUACGGAAUCUUCCCUUUGCCUCAACUGGUCCAGCAUUUCACAGUGAGGAGCCCUGGAGUGUGUCCGUUUUCAUGCACUCGGUUCUUUCCAACUGGAAACUUGUGUCCUUCAGCUCUGGGGAAACUUCCCUGAAAUACUCUCUUGCUGAUUUUCUACUCUCUGUUUUCUCUGUUCUUUAUUUUUGGAAUGUGGAGUUAUAUGCACUUUCUUCUGCUCAUGCAGUCUGCGUGUGCUCUGUCUCCUGCCUGUCAUCAUACUGAUAUGUCCCCAAACAUGGGGAAACCUUUAGGAAUUUAAAUUGAAAUAUUAAUGGUGGUUUUUUUCUGAACGAUGGGAUUUCUCUGCCAGGUGUGGUGGUGCACACCCGUAGCCCCAGCGAUUCGGGAGGCUGAGGCAGAAGGAUUG